AGAGCGCAGCAAACUGUGUGAAUUAAUGUGAACUGCAACCUGCCAUGAACAUCGACAACUUGAUUGCACAUUGCGGCCAUGGGUUAGCCUGUGGCCACGCCUGUCCGAGAGU
rnacentral:rRNA from 1 species